rnacentral:tRNA from 1 species
GGCGCGAUGGCAGAGUGGUGAUGCAGAGGACUGCAAAUCCUUGUACGUCGGUUCGAUUCCGGCUCGCGCCUCCA